CCUACGGGGGGCAGCAGUGGGGAAUAUUGGACAAUGGGGGGAACCCUGAUCCAGCGACGCCGCGUGAGUGAAGAAGUAUUUCGGUAUGUAAAGCUCUAUCAGCAGGGAAGAAAAUGACGGUACCUGACUAAGAAGCCCCGGCUAACUACGUGCCAGCAGCCGCGGUAAUACGUAGGGGGCAAGCGUUAUCCGGAUUUACUGGGUGUAAAGGGGGCGUAGACGGUGCAGCAAGUCUGAUGUGAAAGGUCGGGGCCCAACCCCGGGACUGCAUUGGAAACUGUUGAACUUGAGUACAGGAGAGGUAAGCGGAAUUCCUGGUGUAGCGGUGAAAUGCGUAGAUAUUAGGAGGAACACCAGUGGCGAAGGCGGCUUACUGGACUGUAACUGACGUUGAGGCUCGAAAGCGUGGGGAGCAAACAGGAUUAGAUACCCUGGUAGUC
rnacentral:rRNA from 1 species